UACCAUUUUGAGAAAAGAUAUUGCAGUCAUUCCUUUCAAUGCAGGGUUUAUAUGAUGGGGGAAAUGUCAUAUAUGGUCAUUGGGGGAGUAACCUUAGGGUGUACUAAGUAUCAAACGAGAUGACAUAAUGUAGUGGGUAUCAUUGAAAACAGAUUUGACUAAAUAUUAGAGUAUCACUCUCACACAAGGGACAUCUUUUAGGUGCCUCUCAGGAAAAGGUUACCUCAAAUUUUGACUACCCCUACUCUAUAUUCUACCUUUUUUAAAAUGACAUGGUAAAUAUGACUUCCACUACUCUACUUUCUGUCAGGUGCCAUAUGGAGAUUGAUAAACUCUGCUUAUAUAAACAAUGAAAACAGAGGAUGGUUGGUGAGAUGUUAUAUUAAGCUCGAUAUUGUUUCAAAUUUCUUUUGUGCUAACUCAAAGGAUAUUUAAUUCAUGCUAGUUGCUACUCUUGAUUGUGUCCGUGGCUUUCCCUCUGGACACUACUCGCAAGUAUCCAGGUCGAAAUGAUCAAUGACUGAAUUCUUAUGGAUGCAUUCGAGAAUGGAUCAAGAAACAUUGAAUUUCUUUUAAUAUAUAAUAAUAUAAUCCUGGCGCUUACUAGAA